CACAGAGGCCCCAUUCAGCCACUGGUCGGCGCUGCCGUGGGCCCCGCCCCCAAGCGAGCAACUGUCAAGGAGCCACCGUUUGAGGGGCGGUUUUGAGCCCCCGGUCGGCGGAGCGGUGGUCGUCCACUUGGAGAGUGAGAUUUACAGGAACAUCGUGACCUGACCAUGACCUGACCUCAAGGACAAAGGCUCUGACACCAAAAAGUGUGCACCAACUAACCGCGCCCCUCCCUCCCCUUUCCUAUAAAAGGGCUUUGCUGAUUGCUUUCAGGGAGUUUGGGGUUUUUUAAGGCGUGAGCCACCCAUCUCCUUGCAUGGCCCUGCAAUAAACCUUUCUGUGUUCCAGACUCCA